AUUACCGAGAGUGACGGACGCCGGCGGCGCCGUCCCGGGGGCCCCGCCCCCGACCUCUUCAACCCUGUGAAUAUUUGCCCUUGUUGCUUCGGCGAGCAGUCGAGGCCUUUCGCGCCUCGGCCCCGGCUCCGGCCGGUGAGCUCUCGCCCGAGGCCCUCUCCAUUCGGCUCUACAGUGACGUCCGAGGAUUUGCAAUCAAUAUCAAAACUUUCAACAACGGAUCUCUUGGUUCUGGCAUCGAUGAAGAACGCAGCGAAAUGCGAUAAGUAAUGUGAAUUGCAGAAUUCAGUGAAUCAUCGAAUCUUUGAACGCACAUUGCGCCCCCUGGUAUUCCGGGGGGCAUGCCUGUUCGAGCGUCAUUGCAACCCUCAAGCUCUGCUUGGUAUUGGGCGUUCGCUUCCAAGGAGGCGCGCCCGCAAACCAGUGGCGGUCCAGGGAGACUUCAAGCGCAGUARAAACAUUCCGCUAUCGAGGUGUCGCCUGCGGCCUGGCCAGAAACCCCCCAAAUUCCAAUGAUUGACCUCGGAUCAGGUAGGGAUACCCGCUGAACUUAAGCAUAUCAAUA
rnacentral:rRNA from 1 species